UCCCGUGAUGGGUGGCUGUGUGCUGGGGAAGGGAAGAGGGAGCCUCAGAAGGGAUGUCCAUCCAGAUGCCACCUGUCAGGCAGGGUGAUGAGUUUGGGGAGGUGGUGAGCACCUGAGGGAAGCCUGCUCUUCUCAUUUUGGGUGGGCAACCUCACCCUCCAGCUGCAUGGUUCUGGGAUGGUUGAAGGACUGGGCAUCUCCAUCCCUGUCACCUCUCCUGGGACAUCCAGAUGGUUUUGGUGCUUGUCUCUUUUUCAGAACCUACUUGGAACCAAAUGGCUCCAGCCGUUGCUCAGGAAGAGUUGAGGUGCACCAAAACCAGCAGUGGGGGACGGUGUGCGAUGCCAGCUGGGACCUGAGUGAUGCCAAGGUGGUCUGCCGGCAGCUGGCAGGGCUCCGUUUGGGCAAGGACACUGUCCCAUCUGGCUGGACAAAGUGAACUGUACAGGGAUGGAAGGUGCCAUCACUGAAUGCAGCUUCAAGCUCUGGGGAGCCCAUAACUGCAGCCAUGGUGAAGAUGCAGGUGUCAUGGGCUCAGACCUCACGGAGCUACGGCUGGUGAACAGCACAAAUUGCUGUGCUGGGUGCCUCAAGGUGCUUCACGACCAGCAGCGGGUGUCCGUGUGCAACAACGGAUGGGACAUGGAGGAUGCUGCAGUGGUCUGCCAGCAGCUGGGCUGCAGGGUGGCUGUGUCAGCGCCAGGCUCGGCUCAUUUUGGGCCAAGAUCCAACCAUAUCUAGCUGGGUGAUGUUGAGUGCACGGGGACAGAAGCUACCCUCUCCGAAUGCAAGUCCAGGAUGGAGGAACCCAGUAAUUGCCACCAUGGAGAAGAUGCUGGUGUUGUGUGCACAGCUCUGGAUGAAGAGAUGUUUGCUUUCUCCCCACCGGCUCUUUUACCAUCAGACCUCUGCUGCUGCUCCCAUCGCUGAUCUCAGUCAUCCCUCCAGUCUCGAUGCUGGUCUGCAGGGCUCUUCUGUACCAGAGGAGGACAUGAAUGCAAAAUAGGGCUUUUAAUUCCCCAAGGUUUUGUGCACAUGGAGGAGCUGGUUGUCUCUGAUAUGUUCAUCUUGACGCCUGGAGAAGAGCAAGCGGCAGCCAAGGUGGCUCCUGCUGUGGAUGCUGACAACAAGAACACUCAGCACAGCCUGUGACCAGCCCAAACCUAAAACUCCAGUGAUGCAGCUCCGUCCCAGCACACAGCCCUUUCACCGAGGGCCCUGGACCACCUCAUCUCUACAGAGCCUGUUGGAGGGGUUUUUGUUGGAGGCUUUUUUUCUUAGGGUUUUUUUUUUAAUAGCCAGUCAGAGGAGGCUGCAAUAUAUUCCAGGGCUUGUUUCCCUACAAUGGGUAAGUUGAAUAGCUUUGCAAACUCCACCCGAAAGCUCCUGUAGAUGUUUGGAGCUAUCCACGGUGUCCUAGUUCUAGGACAUUGAUAUGGGACUGGCAAAUGUGACAAAGGACCUACAGAUGCAUCUGUAUGAGGGCAACUAGAUCUCACUGGUCACUUCCAUCUGCUGUAUUCCCAAACAUGCUCAUGUGCCUUGUGUCCUUGAACAUCAGUGUCCUGGGGCCUCUUGGAGGACAGGGGCUUCUUGUGAAGGGCUUGGAGGACACAGAGGUGUGAAUCAGCCAUGCAGAGGGAUGCUGGCAGGAGGUUUAAGAAGCUCUAGUCAUAGAAAUAAGCACUGGGUACCACCACAGCUCAUGCCAACCCAAGUGGUAUUGGGACUAUGAGCAGCUGAGCAGGACCCCAUGCAAGCACCCUGCCGUGUGUUGGCAGGAUAGUCCUGCUCAUGAAGGACUGAAGGACUCAUCAAGGCCAGGUUGGAUGGAGCUUUGAGCAACCUGGUCUAAUGGAGGGUGUCCCUGCCAAUGGCAGGGGGGUUGGAACUAGAUGAUCUUUGAGGUCUGUUCCAACCCAAACCAUUCUGUGAUUCUAUGACCAGGAAAACAGGUAGCCAACCAGAGGGAAACGGGAUGAGCGAUGUGAUAAAUACAGUGGCUGUAGUGGGGUAAAAGCAUGAACGUCUGCAAGGCAGGGGAAGAGAGGAAAUGGGAUGCAUGCUGGGUUACAGGGGCUUAGAAGAUGAAGGCUUGGAAUACCCUGAGAGUAUCGACCAAUCUGGAAAAUAGAAGAUGGCUUGCACAAUGUGCGGAAAGCAUCUGCCAAGGGAAACGAGGAGUGCAUGAAGAGCCCAAAGAGGCCAAAAGCUUGGAGAACUAAUGAGUAAAAGUUGAUCCUACAGCGUGCAGGACAUUUGCAAAGGAGGAUCAGACAAGACCAUGGCCAAGUCUAUGGCUGUGGUAUGCACAGAGAAGUGUUUAAGGCUUGCGGAAGUGCUUCUCUAAGUAAUCCAGGCCUGCAAGCUGAUGAUCAGUGAGCUGCUGAUAGCCUCGGGCUUUCCAGUGUGCCCCAUCUCUUAUCAUCCCAUGUCCUCUACGCCGACUUGUGUGUUUCCACUUCUCAAGGCUUCUGCUGUAACACCAGCUUUCUGUUUUCGCCUGGGUUUGAAAGCCCCGGGACACCUCUAGAUGGACUGCUUCUGGAGGGUGAUGGGGACUACAGCAGGGCUGGAUUCUUCACCCCUUAUCCAGGCUUCCACAGCUAUCUCAGUAGGUCUUGUCCCACCAGGCACCCAGGUCCUGGCACCAUAACCAGAAGUAUGCAACACAUGGUCCCUUUUGUGCUGCAGCAACACCCUUUAGUCAGCUGAAAUACACCUUAUUUCAGGCACUUUGAGAUGAAAACAUACAUCAGAAUUAAUAGUUCUGCCGUAGGCCAUGAGGACAUCCUGUGCUGACCCCGACUGCAUUGAUCCUGCUCUCUGCUAAUGAGCAGGGUAACGGUCAUUCCCCUAAUGACCCUAAUGAGGGUAAUGGAGAUGCACACAGCAGAAUUUGCCAAGUUAGCUUCUCUUUCUUCUCGUUCCUACAGCUGUGGCCCAGGGUUACGCUCUACCUACCUCCACCCCUAAGAAGCACAGUUCCCUUUUCAGCCUUUUCCCGGCAUGGUUUAGAUGAGUUCAGCUCCUGGGUCCUCCCUUGUGUGGUUGGUUGGUCACCUCAGGCUGCUGCAGAGCCUCCCGUUCCUUCAUCUCCUCAGUGGAUGAGCGUUGUGGACACAUCCCUGGCUGCUCCAGUUCGAGGCAACCUGGAUAUUUGACCAGGGAUGCUUGGUUGGCUCUUUACAGAGGGCUGGGAGGUGAGACAGGAGAUCCAGCCACCAGUGUGGUGGGACAGGCAGUUCACCCACCACCCAACAUCUCCUUGGGCACUAACUUUGACUCUAUAACCUGCCCAUCUUUCAGGUUGUCCUUAAAGCAAAUGGAGGUGGCAAGAAAGGGUUAGGAGUGGGGUAAAGCUCUUUUUAAGGGUAGAAAUGGGAUCUGGGUCGCUGUGUGUGUCUAACGGCACUGAGGGACAUAAGGGGACCUUGCAAAAAGGAAUUGACACCCAUGCACAGGUCUCUGAAACAUCCACGGUUGGGGUGUGCUGAUCCUACACGCAUUUUCCAGCCUGUCCCUGCAGCCCCUUUCAGUGUCCUCUGCAAAUGGGCCCUGGGACUAACUCUGGUCCAUGCCCUGCUGCCCCUGGACACUGACACUUCUGACCCAUCAGUCGUGCUGCCUUCUCCAUGGGGUGAUAAAUAAGGCAAUGGCCCUUGCUAGUAGAUGCUUCUCCAUGGGAUAUCCAUUUCUGUGUCUCCUGACUAUCAUCGCAGUGAUGAUCCCCUGGGAGGGAUUUCCUUUGGGAGGCCCUUGGGGGAGGUUCAGUAUGAAUGACACCAAAGGACAGGCAGAUGAAGGGGUGAGGGGAUCAGUGUCUGGGCAGGCAGCAAUUUGCUUUGUAUCCUCCUCCCCUAGUUCCCAGUCGCGACCAUGACUCUGAGCACAGCUUAUGUCCCUCCCCAGCACCAUCUCCUCCCCCCUCCCAGCCCCGGUGGGGCUGAACUCAGCCCCUGAAGGGUCUGUGAGAGCAGCUGGGGCUGCCUGGCUGCCUGUGCCAGAUCCAGAACUGCAAGGAUCCUCAGGGCCUGUGGGGUGGAUCUGAACGGCUGCCAGGGCACAUGGCAGCCCAAAUGUCCAGACAUGGUGCUGGGGAGUCCUACAGCCUGGCUGCAGGUAGAGGGGCAUCAGUGUGGAACCAUAUGAAAUCAGAGGAACCAUAUGAAAUUCAAUAAGGGCAAAUGUAGGGUCCUGCACCCAGGGAGGAAUAACCCCAGGCACCAGUACAGGUUAGGGGUUGACCUGCUGGGAAGCAGCUCUGCGGAGAAGGACCUGGGAGUCCUCGUGGACAAGCUAAGCAUGAGCCAGCAAUGUGCCCUCGUGGCCAAGGUGGCCAAUGGUGUCCUGGGGUGUAUUAAGAAGAGUGUGGCCAGCAGGUCAAGGGAGGUUCUCCUCCCCCUCUACUCUGCCCUGCUGAGGCCACAUCUGGAAUAUUGUGUCCAGUUCUGGGCUCCCCAGUUCGAGACAGACAGGGAACUACUGGAGAGAGUCCAGCUGAGGGCUACAAAGGUGAUUAAGGAACUUGAGCAACUCUCUUCUGAGGAAAGGCUGAGAGAGCUGGGUCUGUUUAGCCUGGAGAAGAGAAGACUGAGAGGGGAUCUUAUCAACAGUUAUAAAUAUCUAAAGAGUGGAUGUCUAGAGGAAGGGGCCAGACUCUUCUCUAUGGUGCCCAGCGACAGCACAAGGGGCAAUGGGCACAAAGUGGAACACAGGAAGUUCCAUCUGCAUAUGACGAAAAAUUUCUUCACUUUGAGGGUGACAGAGCACUGGAACAGGCUGCCCAGAGAGGCUGUGGAGUCUCCUUCUCUGGAGAUAUUCAAAACCCGCCUGGACACAAUCCUGUGCAACCUGCUCUAAAUGAUCCUGCUCUAGCAGGGGGGUUGGACUAAAUGAUCUCCAGAGGUCCCUUCCAACCCCUACCAAUCUGGGAAUCUGAGAAUCUGGAGAAAACCAUGUAAUUGCCAGCAUCAGACCAUUUAUACUAUUAUAUUUUCAAGCUGUGAACUUCCUCCAUCCCUGUUAUGGCUGAUGGAUUUUUCUCCAGCUCAAGUUAUUUCCUGGGAUCUCUUCUUUAGUUUUAUCUGGACAGAGUUUGCAACAGAUUAAUUCAUCACUGAAGAGGAGGAUGAGAGAUUUCAGCUGCUUCAGAUCAGCAGAAGUUGCUGCAAUGCAAAAGCCAAGGGGUAGCACAAGAUGAGUUCGCAGUGCAUUGGCCAUGGUGGGCUGAACCAUGGAGAUGCUGGCAUGUGCAGAACUCAGUCAUUUGCAAAGACCCCGAGUGCUCAAGUGCAGAUAUCUGUGCUGGGCUGCCAUUACAACCACUGGGAGCAGUCAUCAGAGAUAAAAAAGCCACAUGAGAUCCUGAUGGCUUCUCCCAUUUCGCAUCCCCACCUGGCAGAGAACAGUUCGUGACGCUUGGCUCUUGGCACGUACGUGAUCUCUUUGCUGUCCCUGAAAGGUGAGUUCGGAGACUGCAAGGCAGUCACAGGGUAGCAUUUCCAAUUGCUUGCCCUCAAACAAUAAAGUGAUUUUCUGCCAUCUAGCUAUGCAUCCAUGCAAUGCAAUGAAAUGAAUUUAAUGGUGCACCAUGUCUGGCUUUGAAUGUUUUCCUUUUCCAGUACCCAGCUGCAAAUGAGUUCUCCGAAAUCAUCAUCUCCAUGUGCUGCAGCAGCCAAAAAAACCCAACAAAAUGUUGCAUACCCUAAGAAAAGCACUGAGGACACAGCAGGGGGUGUAAUUUUGCUGCAAUAUACA